rfam:TPA: Bos taurus chromosome 27, whole genome shotgun sequence.
UCCCUGGUAGCUCAGAGGUUAAAGCAUCUGCCUGCAAUGCAGGAGACCCAGGUUCGAUCCCUGGGUUGGGAA